AGAGUUUGAUCAUGGCUCAGAACAAACGCUGGCGGCGUGUCUUAAGCAUGCAAGUCGAGCGGCAAGGCGGGGCGACCCGCCCUAGAGCGGCGGACUGGUGAGUAACGCGUGGGUAAUCUACCUUGGGCAUGGGGAUAGCCAUUAGAAAUAGUGGGUAAUACCGAAUACGCUCGCGGGGGGAAGGGUCCUGUGAGGAAAGGGUGCUACGGCACCGGCCUGAGAUGAGCUCGCGUCCCAUUAGCUAGUUGGUGAGGUAAGGGCCCACCAAGGCGAUGAUGGGUAGCCGGCCUGAGAGGGUGUACGGCCACACUGGGACUGAGAUACGGCCCAGACUCCUACGGGAGGCAGCAGCUAAGAAUAUUCCGCAAUGGACGAAAGUCUGACGGAGCGACGCCGCGUGGAUGAAGAAGGCCGAAAGGUUGUAAAGUUCUUUUGCGAGGGAAGAAUAACCGCAGGAGGGAAUGCCUGUGGGAUGACAUGAACUUGCGAAUAAGCCCCGGCCAACUACGUGCCAGCAGCCGCGGUAACACGUAGGGGGCGAGCGUUGUUCAGAAUUACUGGGCGUAAAGGGCAUGUAGGCGGUCUGGUAAGCCUGGCGUGAAAGACCACAGCUUAACUGUGGGGUUGCGUUGGGAACUGCUGGGCUUGAGUGACGGAGAGGGAGCUGGAAUUCCUGGUGUAGGGGUGAAAUCUGUAGAUAUCAGGAAGAACACCGAUGGCGAAGGCAAGCUCCUGGCCGAUGACUGACGCUGAGGUGCGAAAGUGUGGGGAUCAAACAGGAUUAGAUACCCUGGUAGUCCACACGGUAAACGAUGUGCACUAGGUGCUGGGGCGGUAGCCUCGGUGCCGGAGCGAACGUGGUAAGUGCACCGCCUGGGGAGUAUGCUCGCAAGGGUGAAACUCAAAGGAAUUGACGG
rnacentral:rRNA from 1 species